AUUACUCGAUACUUGCUUUAUAUUCGUGACUUGACCCGUGUUCGCCUUGAAAAGCCGAGUGCUUGCCGUUAGCAAGGCAAGUAACAAGUCAAAAAAUUUUACUACUUGUAAAGACAAGACAAGUAUCAAGUAUCGUUUUAUUUUUGGUACUUGCUUCGUUACUCGUUCUAUAAAAUACUUGUUAUUUGCAAAACAAAAUUUGGAACAUUGAAAUAAAAUGAAGGAACAAAAUAGAGGAACAUUGAGUUUCAUAUGGUCUUUCAAUAUUUUGAAUGCUUAUUUUUAUUUUUGUCUAUUUCUUUGAAAAUUCAUGUAACUUUUGGAUGUUAAAAAUCUAGAAUACGUGUCUUUUUUGUACGUAAUCAAGAGAUAAUUAGUUGGUGUUACUUUUUUGGUGUCUUUUGGAACAUCGAAGUAAGCUAAUGAUUCGCCUCGUGCCCACCCAAUUCAUAUAUAUAUAUUUAAGAAAAUAAGUGACAAGUGGAUUGUGUGGUGUUCCUAAAAAAAAAAGUGCUGUUAGCCAAUGAAAUAAGAAGGCGAGGAUUGCUCAAUUUUUAAUCUGAACGGUUGAUAAAGUUGAUCUAAAGAUUCAGAUCUGUCUCCUAUCUAUUCAUUUUUCCCCCUCUUUCUCCAGAUCUGUCGAUCUCCUCAUCUCUUCUUUUUGCCUUCUUUUUUCUCAGUUGGUCAAUCUCUUCAUCUCUUUUUUUUUGUUUGGUAAUCAAUCUGCAUCUCUUUUUUCUCCGGGUAGAUCAUUCUUUUUAUAUUUGUGUUCAUGGGUUCAAACUCAAAUAUCAACACGGGAAUUGGAUUUACAUGAAAGUUUCAUUCUUUUUAUACAGAGAGAUUAUCGAAGAGAUUAUCGGACUCCCACCUUCGGAGACGCAUGAUAACGACGGCGUGGUUGUCGUGAGCAGAGGUGGUGGUCGUGAAUGUGAAUCCAAUGGGUGGUGGUCGUGACAGAGCUUGUGGUCAUGACCGUCAAAGGCGUUCGUGAGCAGUGGAGGCAUUUGUGAGCAAAUGUGGUGGUCAUGGGCAAAGGCUGCAGCAGCGGUCGUGAGCAGAGGAGGCGGAGAAGACACACUGGAGGUUUAGGAGCUUGAUGGAUGCGGCUAGGUUUAAUUAUUAAUUAAUUAGAUUUUCUGGUUUUGGUUAAUUAGUGUGUAAACCGAUAAUAAAUUGUAAACAAAUAUUAAUUAAUAAAAGAAAUUUAAAUAUUCAA